rnacentral:tRNA from 1 species
GGGGUUGUGACUCAGUGGCAGAGCAUGCCCGCCUAGCAAGUGCGAGGCCCUGGGUUCGAUCCUCAGCACCACG